rnacentral:lncRNA from 1 species
UUCAUGCACAAGAGAAGAGCCAUGAUGUCAUUGAUCCUCUUUGGAAAUGAAGGACAAAUAACAACAAAGCCUGAUCUAUGUCUCACAGGAAGAGGGGGAUUCUGUAAGGUUGACAUUAUGAGAAAUGAGGCAAUAGAAGAAAAAUAAUGAAUUUCAGAAAUAUUGUCCUUAUGGAAAGAAAAUAGAAACUAGGAGAAGCUUGCUAUUUAUUUCCUAGGGAAGGUGAGUUUGAAUCUUUUCUUACACAGAAGCAGACCUUAUUGUCACUUCUUUGCCAUUUUUUAAUCAUGCUGCCUGUACUUGGGCUAUCAUUUUCAUCUUUCUCUUCCCCACCUCAUUUCCACCAGAAACUUGGACUAUACCCCUGAGAUGUCAGGUUAAACUAGGUGAGCUUUCAACUUAUCUUUUCCAAAACCAGGUCUCUUAGUCACUUCCCAGCUAUUUCUAAAUCUCCCCCACCUAGUACUUUGUGGUUCCUGUUAAUGGAUUUUCUUCCCCUAUUAGAAAGUAACUUUUUUGAGUUCAGGGACUAUCUUUCUUGUAUAUAUUUAUAUCUUCACCUCUUUACUAUACUGUGUGCAACAUAUUAGGCAUAUAAAUUCUUUCAUCAUCAUCAUCAUUAUCAAAUUUAGUCCUAUUUGAAAGGCAUCAAAGUAUAGUAAAGUACAUAGUUUAGAAUCAAGAAUAUUUGAGUUCAUAUCAUGAUACAUAUUAUCUGUGUUUACUAUGGAAGAAUUACUUAACUUCUCAAAGAUUCAGUUUCUUCAUCUGUGAAAAGG